rnacentral:lncRNA from 1 species
AUUGGCAGAUGACGAUAACUCAGUUUUAUGCUUAACACUCUGAUUUAACCGUGGUGAUUAUAAACUCCGCUUAUUAUCUGAUGCCUAUUUUAAUAACUGUUUUUGAGUUUUUAUUUAUUAAUUUUUUUUGUUUUAUAAGGAAAGCAAAUGAUGCAAUAAAAAACAUCUUAUACUACACACUGAAGAUUUUGAUGUAGAAAACUAUCUCUCAAUUGUUUUCUGAUGCUUUC